rnacentral:lncRNA from 1 species
CGUUAUGGCAGAUGAGGUGUGGGAGGAAGCAGGGACUUGUUCUGGCAGAGGAGGUGUGGAGAAGGGACUUGUUCUAGCAGAUGAGGUGUGGGAGAAGGGACUGUUCUGGCAGAUGAGGUGUGGGAGAAGGGACUGUUCUGGCAGAUGAGGUGUGGGAGAAGGGACUGUUCUGGCAGAUAAGGUGUGGGAGACGGGACUGUUCUGGCGGAUGAGGUGUGGGAGAAGGGACUGUUCUGGCAGAGGAGGUGUGGAUUUCGUACUCUGCCUAGUGGCUCUUUUCUUGAUUGUCAUUCUUGAAGUUGCUAUGUUUUGUGCAUCACCAGGAGCAAAUCCCUAAAUGUAAUUAGAUGAAUAAAAUAAAAAGUUGCUCUGGAUAAGACCAUCUGCUAAGUGACGUAAAUGUAAAAUGUAAAAAUAAAGAU